AACGAACGUUAGCGGCGCGCCUAACACAUGCAAGUCGAGCGAGAAAGGGCUUCGGCCCCGGUAAAGCGGCGCACGGGUGAGUAACACGUAGGUAAUCUUCCCCCAGGCGGUGGAUAACCUUCCGAAAGGAGGGCUAAUACAGCAUAAGACCACGCUUUUGAAAUAGAGUGAGGUCAAAGCGGGCCAAUGUACACAAGCUCGCACCAGGGGAUGAGCCUGCGGCCCAUCAGGUAGUUGGUAGGGUAAUGGCCUACCAAGCCAAAGACGGGUAGCUGGUCUGAGAGGAUGAUCAGCCACACUGGAACUGAGACACGGUCCAGACUCCUACGGGAGGCAGCAGUGGGGAAUCUUGCGCAAUGGGCGAAAGCCUGACGCAGCGACGCCGCGUGAGUGAUGAAGGCCCUCGGGUUGUAAAGCUCUGUGGAGAGAGACGAAUAAGGGUUGGCUAAUAUCCAACUCGAUGACGGUAUCUUUUUAGCAAGCACCGGCUAACUCUGUGCCAGCAGCCGCGGUAAGACAGAGGGUGCAAACGUUGUUCGGAAUUACUGGGCGUAAAGCGCGUGUAGGCUGCGAUGCAAGUCGGAUGUGAAAGCCCUGGGCUCAACCUAGGAAGUGCAUUCGAAACUGCGUUGCUU
rnacentral:rRNA from 1 species